rnacentral:rRNA from 1 species
UACAGAGGGUGCAAGCGUUAAUCGGAAUUACUGGGCGUAAAGGGCGCGUAGGUGGUUUGUUAAGUGAGAUGUGAAAUCCCUGGGCUUAACCUAGGAACUGCAUCUUAAACUGGCGAACUGGAGUACUGUAGAGGGUAGUGGAAUUUCCGGUGUAGCGGUGAAAUGCGUAGAUAUCGGAAGGAACACCAGUGGCGAAGGCGGCUACCUGGACAGAUACUGACACUGAGGCGCGAAAGCGUGGGGAGCAAACAGG